AUAGUAAAUGGAGCACAUAUAUAUAGAGCACCAAUCACAUUGCAAGGGAAGUGAUGUAAUCACUUUUCCCUUUAUAAAGGGUGGUUAUCAGGUCCAAUGCCUCAUUAUACAGAGACUUGGCUGUCAGCACUGCACCACUGGAGGGUAAGGUUUUGUUUUUGAUUUUACAAUAGUAUAUUAUCAACUUUGAAAGUGGUCCCAUUUAUUAGUAUACACUUUGUACCAACUAUAUGUAUUUUAUUGACUGGUUAACCACUAAUCAUUUAUAAAUGUAAUUUUUUUAAAGAGUAUAUGAUAUGCACUAAUUAUAUAUAUUCACUAUAUAAAUAUGACAGAUUUAUUCAUGAAUAUGAAACUAAGUUGUAUGAGUUAUACACUCACUUAUAUAAUUUUUAUAGUUAAUAGAUCUUCCCCUUACUAAGUGAAAGGAGUAUUUGUUUCUCCAUGGGGUGGGAACUCUUUGUACCAUACUGGUACUUUAAUAGAUGGUCUAAUUGAUAUCAACCCAAUUAAUUUACCAGGUCUACCACGUGUUCUAAAUUGGUUAGACAUUAUACCCAUUUGAAUUGCCUUCACUCCUGAGUCUCUGAGUGUCAGGUUCAAGCUGCUGACCGACGAGGUUCCUUAUGCUUGCGAACCAGUUAGAUUCUAUACACAUAUGAAUCUUCCCGUUAUUCGAAUAUCUGAAUGUCAGACUCAAGCUGAUGAUAUAUGAGGUAUCGUCCUCGCUGUAUCAAUCAAGUCCCAUUGAAAUAUUGAAACGUUGUUCAUACAUCUUUGAAUGACCUUUUAUGUGCUGACAAUAUGUUCGAAAUGAAGAGAUUUUACCCCUGAUGAAGUCUUGGAACAAGACGAAACGCGUUGGGUUAUUUAUCUAUCUAUUAUCUGAUGUUACCUCCGAAUCUACAAUAAGGAGAAGGAGGAAAUCGUAGUGAUAUAUCUACGCUUUUUCCUCAUCACUACAAACUGAUUGUUCAAAUUGUGCGACAAAUGUAAAUGUAUCAACUCUGUAUACUUAUGAACAUUUGUGUCGGGUUUAUAUGUUGUUUUAAUAAAUUUUUAUGUUAGUAUUUGUUAUCUGACGUAAUUUAUCCGGAGAGUACUGUGAGGGUCCGUUUUUAGGUAGGGCGUUGAUAUAACUCCCUUGG